CACCACUCAAGCCUCGCUUGGUAUUGGGCGACGCGGUCCGCCGCGCGCCUCAAAUCGACCGGCUGGGUCUUCUGUCCCCUCAGCGUUGUGGAAACUAUUCGCUAAAGGGUGCCACGGGAGGCCACGCCGAAAAACAAACCCAUUUCUAA
rnacentral:misc_RNA from 3 species